rnacentral:rRNA from 1 species
AGUGAACGCUGGCGGUAGGCCUAACACAUGCAAGUCGAACGGCAGCACAGUAAGAGCUUGCUCUUACGGGUGGCGAGUGGCGGACGGGUGAGGCAUACAUCGGAAUCUACUUUUUCGUGGGGGACAACGGAGGGAAACUUAUGCUAACACCGCAUAAGACCUACGGGAGAAAGCAGGGGAUCUUCGGACCACUCCCGCUCUACUGAGUCGAUGUCGGAUUGGUUAGUUGGUGGGGUAAAGACCCACCAAGGCGACCAUCCGUACCUGGCCUGCCAGGUUGAUCGCCCACACUGGAACUGGAACCGGGUCCAGAUCCCUAGGGAGGGAGGAGGUGGGGAAUAUUGGACAAUGGGGGAAAGCCUAAUCCAGCAAUACCGCGUAGGGAAAGAAGGCCUUCGGGUUGUAAAGCCCUUUUGUUGUGAAAGAAAAGCAGCAGAUUAAUACCCCGCUGUUCUGACGGUACCCAAAGAAUAAGCACCGGCUAACUUCGUG